UACGAAGGGGGCUAGCGUUGUUCGGAAUUACUGGGCGUAAAGCGCACGUAGGCGGGUUGUUAAGUCAGGGGUGAAAUCCUGGAGCUCAACUCCAGAACUGCCUUUGAUACUGGCAACCUAGAGACUGGAAGAGGUUAGUGGAAUUCCCAGUGUAGAGGUGAAAUUCGUAGAUAUUGGGAAGAACACCGGUGGCGAAGGCGGCCCACUGGUCCGGUACUGACGCUGAGGUGCGAAAGCGUGGGGAGCAAACAGG
rnacentral:rRNA from 1 species